AUCCAGCUGACGAGUUCCAAAUAGGACGAAACGCGCGUCACACUGGAU
rnacentral:hammerhead_ribozyme from 1 species